GGGAAGUAGGCCCGGAGUGGUGCCAGCAGGAGGUGGCCUUAGAAAGGCGGAGACCCAAGGAGCAGAGUGAGUCGGCGUCCAGCUCCACCUGAAAGCGCCAUCUUGUCGCCACUUCCCUCAGGAGCAGGAAGAAGAAGAGAUUUUGGAGUAGCAAUGGAAUAAUGACUGGAGACUGCAAGAGCAUGCCCAGCCUCUUGCAUAGGAAGAAGUGGUAAGCUAAGGAGAGAAAUGCAGGGUUCCUAGUACACCAAUUUUCCAACUUUUUCAUCUUGGCCCUGCUUUAAAAUGAUGCAUCUACUGUCUUCAUGCCUCAGCACAGCAGAGGGUCACCUGAAUGUGGAAAAGUUGAGUUGGAGCAAAACUGGCACGGCCAUACUGGAUGGACCUCAGCAUGACCAGGACACAUUUCAGCUCAAAUCCCCUGUGCCAAGAACACAUUCUGCCAAGGACCACCACCUCUUCCCACAACUAGAGCUGGCUUACCAGAGCACCGAUGGACUUGGAUACCUGAGAUAUCUGCUUGGGAUCCCACACUUUCAAGGUCUCUCCUCUGGCCUUCUUCUGGUUCUGCGACUCCUUACAGCGCUGGGAGUUGGUGAUGCCAACAGGACAUACGCUCCCAGAGCCUACCUCUCCCAGAUCACUUUAAAAGGCACCCAGGACCCCAGAAUUCUCAUCCUCAAAGGCAUGGAGCUCAGCUCUUGGCCCUCAACAAAUCUCUUCCCCAUAAAGAUCCUUUUGAGAGCUUAGGAUGUCCCCCGGAUGGUUUUGGUUGCAGAUUGUGGUGGUGGAGGGAGCUAUACAAUUUAAUCUAUUGCCAUUAAUUGGAUGCGCUAAUGGCAGAUUGGGUAGUGAUAAUGCCAUAAGAGGUAGUGUGUGAGCCGUGUGCUGCAUCUGUGCUAGCUCAGGUAAGUCAGCACACAGCACCUGCAGCCUCCUCUCACCUCUUCCCUGAGCAGCACCUUUUCACCUGAACAUGCUGAUCCCCUAGUGCUUCAUCUUGACAGCAACUUAACAAGCCCUGGGCAGCUUUUUAAAAUAAAUGACUAUGAUAUUGACUAUGAAUCUACAUAAAAGCCACUUGUUUUUUAGUCAUAAUCUGUGUCUAACUGCAGAAGAAAUUCACACCUUUGAAAAACAAAUAAAAAUGUAAAAAGUGAAAAUUGUUUGUAACCACAAUAUUCUGAAAUAGAACCUUUUUGUUAGAUCAUUUUCAAGAGGAUUUUUCAUACUUUCCUACAGUAAUACCAAUGUAUAUGCACUUGUAUAAAUUCUUGGUUAAAAUA
ensembl:lncRNA LINC01501 long intergenic non-protein coding RNA 1501